rnacentral:rRNA from 1 species
UACGGAGGGUGCAAGCGUUAUCCGGAUUCACUGGGUUUAAAGGGUGCGUAGGAGGGCAGGUAAGUCAGUGGUGAAAUCUCCAAGCUUAACUUGGAAACUGCCGUUGAUACUAUCUGUCUUGAAUACCGUGGAGGUGAGCGGAAUAUGUCAUGUAGCGGUGAAAUGCUUAGAUAUGACAUAGAACACCCAUUGCGAAGGCAGCUUACUACACGAUCAUUGACGCUGAGGCACGAAAGCGUGGGGAGCAAACAGG